rnacentral:misc_RNA from 1 species
AAGUCGUAACAAGGUUUCCGUAGGUGAACCUGCGGAAGGAUCAUUACCGAAGUACAGGCCCGCUCGCGGGCUCAACUUCCACCCUCUGUUUACCAUUCUCUGUUGCUUUGGCGAGACGUCCCUCACAGGCCACCGGCUUCGGCUGGUGCGUGCUCGCCAGAGAAAACCCAAACCCAAACAUAUUUUAGUGAUUGUCUGAAAACAAGUUUAAUAAUUAAAACUUUCAACAACGGAUCUCUUGGCUCUG